rnacentral:lncRNA from 1 species
GAUGUGUCAGUCAAACUCCAGCAACCUCAUUGCGAGCAGUAGUAUCAUCCCAGAUCAAAGGAGCAGUCAUACAACUACAGCAUCAAGAAAGUCACUAACGAGUGAGCAGACAUCCAUGUAACUUCUCGUGUUGGCUACGCUUAGUGCCAGUUGUUCUCUAACAACCACCUACACUCUCGCUCCAGUGUCUGUACACUACAGACUCGACACCCAUC